GACGCGGUGGCACAAUGGUUAGCGCUCUUGCCUCAAAUGAAGGAGGUUGCGGGUUUGAGUCCUGGCCGGCCG
rnacentral:tRNA from 1 species